AAUAAAUACAUAUAUAGAUAUCCGUGCUUAAUGUUUGACCGUCCGUCUUAUUUGAAAAAAUUUAAAAAUAUUUAGUCACACAUAAAGUACUAUUAAUGUUUUAUCAUCUAAUAGCAAUAAAAAUACUAAUCAUAAAAAAAUUUCAAAUAAGACGAACGGUCAAACGUUGAAUUUUAGGACGGAGGAAGUAGCUCCCACG
rfam:Oryza sativa Japonica Group DNA, chromosome 3, cultivar: Nipponbare, complete sequence.